CACUCUAAAAAGUGUAUUUGGGCUGUAGUUCAUGUUAUGGACUUAUUUACAUUAACCUGACUUAAUUCUUUUACUUUAGUUAUGACAACUUGCUUUCAUGAGUUCAAUUAACUUAACAGUCACGCAUUUUAUCUCAAACGAACUUUUUAAUUUGAGUCGAAGUGAAACAAUUAAGUUUAAUGCAGCUUUACGUCUGACGUCAUUACGUAAGCUCCGCCCGGGACAGAUCCUGCAUCUCUGGUACCGACCGCCAUUUCUUCUGAGCAUUGACUGUCGACGAGAUUCAGAUAAAACAGCCUAGAACCAAGAAUCAUCAAACCACAUAAGGUUGAAGACAUUGGGAUUCGAAGGGAAUGUGUUCUGAAAGGGCUCAUCACCUUUCUUGGAGAGGAUGCAAAAGACCUUAUUAAGGAAUACUGUGGCAGCAGCGGAGAUGAUGCCCAGAUGGAACUCAAACAACUCACCAUGGCCAUGUUUGUGAUUCGGAAGGAGGGAGAGGGAUUGAAAGAACCCCCAGAAGACAUUGGCAUCGUCAUUGAGGGAGUGGAGGUGUUGCAUGACCUGACUUCAGUUGCCUCAGCAUGUGCCCUGCUUCUGGGUUUGAUAUAUUCCCUUAACUUGGCUUAUCCAAAGGUUCUGCGCUUCACAUUUGAAGUGUUCCAAAAAAUCUUCAUGCAGCUUGAGCAGCACAAGAUGUCUCCCAAAGUUCAAAAUUUGUUUGGAAGACUUCAGACCUCACAGUAAAGACACUGGCAUGUUGUGCAACAGGACAGAAGAUCUUCAGUCUUCUUUGUUUGGACAGAAGAGCGCCAUGUUUUGGAAGCUUAACACCCCAAGGAACUGCACUUUGUGAACUUCUUUUGGGACAUUGUUCAUAUUAAAGCCACAAGUAAUACAGAGUUUACUGGAUAACAAUUGACUGGUAUUUCUGGAGGAUGUUUACUGAUGAGGUUGUGAUGAACAUUAUCAUUUUGGGAGUAGGUCUUUUUUGUUUUUGACAUUUCAUAAAGUUACAUGGUUCAUCUCUUUGGUUUUGUGUGGGGAAAAAAAUACAAGUUAAGGGGGAAAAAUUAAAGUAGGAAAGUAGUAGGCUGCUGCAGUUUGUGGACAUUUUCACAGAAUUUUCUUUUUGCAUUUUUUAAAAAAAUUUGAAUCAACAGAUUUGUUCAGUGUUUUUUGAAGGAGGUUGAAUGGAUCUAGAUCAUAAUGUUUACUAUUCUGUUCUUUUCUGGUGUCAGUUAAAUUAACGGACUUGGUUUAAACUAGGCAGCUAUUACACCACAUCUUUGUUUGAAAACUUGCCUAAAUAUUUUUUGGGUAUUGCUCUUAUUUUCAGUGUAAAAAUAGUCACUAGUGUCAUCAUAUUUUAUGUCAAAAACAUGUUCUCAGCAAAUGUUAUGGUUUAAGAGUGUGGAUUUUCUUUUUUAGGAGGACUUGUGUUAAAUCUAAAAAAGCAAAAUUUUUUCCUGAGGAAUACUUGUGGAUUCUACAACCUCACACAGGGGUGUCCAAGUCUUGUCCAGGAGAGCUACCAUUGUGCAACUUUCAGAUGGACCCUAUUUCAAUACCACCUGAAGCUAAUUUCUGAAUUUACACAACAGCAGACAUUCAGCUCAGCAGAGGCGUUGUAAUGAGCAGUUCAUUUGAUUCAGAUGUAUUGGAGAUGGGAUGCAUCUGAAAGUUGCAAGAUGAUGGCUCUCCACAACUGGACUUGGGCACCUCUGAUCUAGCAGGUCGCUGAAAUGUAAUAUCCCUUAUGAAGUUUCAAAAGAUUUGUGUAGCAUGUUUAAUGCAUAAUAUUUUGUGAAAAACCUGUAAGUUUGUGAUGCUUUCACAAUAAAAUUUAAAAUGUUC